UACGUAGGGUGCAAGCGUUGUCCGGAAUUAUUGGGCGUAAAGAGCUCGUAGGCGGUCUGUCGCGUCUGCUGUGAAAACUCGGGGCUUAACCCCGGGCCUGCAGUGGGUACGGGCAGACUAGAGUGCGGUAGGGGAGACUGGAAUUCUUGGUGUAGCGGUGAAAUGCGUAGAUAUCAAGAGGAACACCUGCGGCGAAGGCGGGUUGCUGGGCCGACACUGACGCUGAGGCGCGAAAGCUAGGGGAGCGAACGGG
rnacentral:rRNA from 1 species